AGCCUUUGACAUCCCGCGCUACAACCAGAGAUGGUUGGUUCCCUUCGGGGACGCGGUGACAGGUGCUGCAUGGCUGUCGUCAGCUCGUGUCGUGAGAUGUUGGGUUAAGUCCCGCAACGAGCGCAACCCUCGUCCUUAGUUGCCAUCAUUUAGUUGGGCACUCUAAGGAAACCGCCGGUGAUAAGCCGGAGGAAGGUGGGGAUGACGUCAAGUCCUCAUGGCCCUUACAGGCUGGGCUACACACGUGCUACAAUGGCGGUGACAGUGGGCAGCAAACUCGCGAGGGUGAGCUAAUCUCCAAAAGCCGUCUCAGUUCGGAUUGUUCUCUGCAACUCGAGAGCAUGAAGGCGGAAUCGCUAGUAAUCGCGGAUCAGCAUGCCGCGGUGAAUACGUUCCCAGGCC
rnacentral:rRNA from 1 species